rnacentral:tRNA from 1 species
GCCACCGUAGCUCAGUUGGCAGAGCAGCGGUUUUGUAAACCGCAGGUCAACGGUUCGAAUCCGUUCGGUGGCU